rnacentral:misc_RNA from 1 species
UCCCGGUUAACCCGGGCAGUCUCACUAGAGUUCCCACCAUUACGUGUUGGCAACUAAUGAUAAGGGUUGCGCUCGUUGCGGGACUUAACCCAACACCUCACGGCACGAGCUGACGACAGCCAUGCAGCACCUGUGCAAAGGCUCCGAAGAGAGGGUACAUCUCUGUACCUGUCCUUUGCAUGUCAAACCUGGGUAAGGUUCUUCGCGUUGCAUCGAAUUAAACCACAUUCUCCACUGCUUGUGCGGGUCCCCGUCAAUUCUUUUGAGUUUCAGCCUUGCGACUGUACUCCCCAGGCGGUAUACUUAACGCGUUCGCUACGACACAACCGGGGUUGAUUCCAGUUACAUCUAGUAUACAUCGUUUACGGCAAGGACUAC